rnacentral:rRNA from 1 species
GACGAACGCUGGCGGCGUGCCUAAUACAUGCAAGUUGAGCGAUGAAGAUUGGUGCUUGCACCAAUUUGAAGAGCAGCGAACGGGUGAGUAACGCGUGGGGAAUCUGCCUUUGAGCGGGGGACAACAUUUGGAAACGAAUGCUAAUACCGCAUAGCAACUUUAAACAUAAGUUUUAAGUUUGAAAGAUGCAAUUGCAUCACUCAAAGAUGAUCCCGCGUUGUAUUAGCUAGUUGGUGAGGUAAAGGCUCACCAAGGCGAUGAUACAUAGCCGACCUGAGAGGGUGAUCGGCCACAUUGGGACUGAGACACGGCCCAAACUCCUACGGGAGGCAGCAGUAGGGAAUCUUCGGCAAUGGACGAAAGUCUGACCGAGCAACGCCGCGUGAGUGAAGAAGGUUUUCGGAUCGUAAAACUCUGUUGGUAGAGAAGAACGUUGGUGAGAGUGGAAAGCUCAUCAAGUGACGGUAACUACCCAGAAAGGGACGGCUAACUACGUG